AAAUGAAGAUGAAUCAUCAUGACCUAGAGGGUUCACAGGCUUCUCAUCGUCACUGCCCACUGCCAUCCACCCAGGAGUGGACGUCUUCCUCCAGUCCGGGCCUCUCACCUACCUCACCAGGACCUCUUACAACUUUUAGGUGCAAGUCACAGAAUGAACUCUGGCAGAGUCAAGAGGCAAAGGGACUCAUCAGAAGGCACUGGAAAGCCGGCGGGAUCCCUGGGAGAGCCAGCACCAGGCUCCGAGACCCUGCAGCAGUAACAGUGCUCACAACGAGGCUUUAGAAACGCUGCUGUUGCUAUGGACACUGGACCCCACAGGUUCCUCCACUGGCAACACUGGACCCCGGAUGCAGCUGAGGUCACUGUCCUCACCCAACACCAGAACAGGCUCUGUGCUACCCCUGCUUCUUCCCAAUACCAGCUUUCUAUUCAGUGUCAAGGCUGGAGGGCACCUAGGUGAAUGGCCUUCACCUUUGCAAGGGUAAAGGGAUGAAAACAACUUGAGUCUCCAUCACCAAGAGCCAUCAGACCAGCUCUCGACUGAUGGUAGGGAUUAUUACUUGAGGAGGAGUUAAACUAUGUUCUUACUUAAGCCACUUUUUUGUGAAGCAGCUAGCUACAGGGGUGCCUGGGUGGCUCAGUAGGUUGAGCAUCUGAC